GGCAUCUAUUCAUCUUUAAUGCCAAGUAGGCAACUGAAUAUUCCGACCAGGGAUAGGAUUGUUUACCUGGGGCAUAUAGACACACUCGAAGUCAUGGAUCUGGUGGAAAUCACUGAAGGGGUCGCGUAGAAGAGGAGAGGGGUCCCAAGAUCAAGCCAGCAAAGGAGGCAGGAAAGGCCCCAGGAUGCAGGCCCUGGUGCUUCUCCUCUGGACUGGAGCCCUCCUCGGGAACAGCAGCCGCCAGAACCCCUCCGGCCGCCCGGAGGAGGGCUCCCCAGACCCCGACAGCACAGGGGUGCCGGUGGAAGAGGAGGAUCCCUUCUUCAAGGUCCCUGUGAACAAGCUGGCAGCGGCGGUCUCCAACUUUGGCUAUGACUUGUACCAGGUACAAUCCAGCAUGAACCCCAUGGCCAAUGUGCUCCUGUCUCCACUCAGCGUGGCCACCGCGCUCUCCACCCUCUCGCUGGGAGCGGAGCAGCGAACGGAAUCCAUCAUUCACCCGGUUCUCUGCUACGACCUCAUCAGCAGCCCAGACAUCCAUGGCACCUAUAAGGAGCUGCUUGACACUGUCACUGCUCCCCAGAAGAACCUCAGGAGUGCCUCCCGGAUCAUCUUUGAGAGGAGGCUGCGCAUCAGAUCCAGCUUUGUCGCACCCCUGGAAAAGUCGUACGGAACCAGGCCCCGGGUCCUGACAGGCAACCCUCGCUUGGACCUUCAGGAGGUCAACAACUGGGUACAGGCGCAGAUGAAAGGGAGGCUCGCCAGGUCCACGAAGGAGAUGCCCAGUGAUGUCAGCAUCCUCCUCCUCGGCGUGGCACACUUCAAGGGGCAGUGGGUAACAAAGUUUGACUCCAGAAAGACUUCCCUGGAGGAUUUCCACUUGGAUGAAGAUAGGACUGUGAGGGUCCCCAUGUCAGACCCUAAGGCUAUUUUGCGCUAUGGCUUGGAUUCAGAUCUCAACUGCAAGAUUGCCCAGCUGCCCUUGACCGGAAGCAUGAGUAUCAUCUUCUUCCUGCCCAUGAAAGCGACCCAGAAUUUGACCUUGAUAGAAGAGAGCCUCACCUGUGAGUUCAUUCAUGAGAUAGACCGAGAACUGAAGACCGUCCAAGCGGUCCUGACCGUCCGCAAGCUGAAGCUGAGUUACAAAGGCGAAGUUACCAAGUCCCUGCAGGAGAUGAAGCUGCAAUCCCUGUUUGAUUCACCAGACUUUAGCAAGAUCACAGGCAAACCUAUCAAGCUUACUCAAGUGGAACACUGGGCUGGCUUCGAGUGGAAUGAGGACGGGGCAGGGGCCACCCCCAGCCCAGGGCUGCAGCCUGCCUACCUCACCUUCCCCCUGGACUAUCACCUCAACCAGCCUUUCAUCUUCGUACUGAGGGACACAGACACCAGGGCCCUUCUCUUCAUUGGCAAGAUUCUGGACCCCAGGGGCACCUAAUACCCCAGUUUCAUAUUCCAGUGCCCUAGAAGAAGACCCCAGAGGGACAGAUUCCACACCACCCGAAGGCUGCCCCUGUUACCUUUCAGUGCAUACAAUAAAAGAGCUCGAUCCUUAAAA